UAGCGUAGGGUGCGAGCGUUGUCCGGAAGUUAUUGGGACGUAAAGGGCUCGUAGGCGGUUUGUCGCGUCGGGAAUGAAAUCCACUGGCUUAACUGGUGGCUUGCUUUCGAUACGGGCAGACUGGAGGUAUGCAGGGGAGAACGGAAUUCCUGGUGUAGCGGUGAAAUGCGCAGAUAUCAGGAGGAACACCGGUGGCGAAGGCGGUUCUCUGGGCAUGUCCUGACGCUGAGGCACGAAAGCGUGGGGAGCAAACAGG
rnacentral:rRNA from 1 species